AGGCUCCCGGAAUGAUACAAGGCCACUGGAGUUUCCAGCAAAAGAUGUACUCAAAUUUGCUUUGGGAGAUGUCUAGUCAGCAACCAUGUUCCCAGACAAGAGGGUUGAACUCCAGCCCUGAGGUGAAUCAGACAAGGGCAGUGACUGAUGGGGACCUUCAAGGCCUGCGAAGCUGCCCUGGAACCCUGAACCUCAAGGCUGAGGAUGGAAUACUCCUGGGGAGGGCUUCCUCUGGGACCCGGGUGGUGGCAGAACAUCUUCCCAGAAACACAGACUUCUGAGUUCCAGUUCUAGCCAAAAGGGUGAACCAAGACCGGUCAUGCACCCUGGCUAGGACCCAACCCACACCAGCCGCUUCCUGCACCGCCACAGCCUUCUAUUUAUUUUUUUGGUCAGUGGUUGUUCCUAAGCAACCGCUUAGCAGAUCCUUCCUGCCUGUCAGCACUAGGGCCAAUAGGCGGGCGGCCGCAGCUCAUCGCCCCACCCCAGCCCCUGUCCGGAGCUCCAGAGCCCCAGCAGUCCACGCAGAAAUCCCAAGCACUCUGACCGGAAGUCACACCCCGAGACCCUUCUGUCUUUACCCGGCUGUAGCGCAGCACCAAGUGGCACAGCACCGGCCGCCGCGGUACACAGUGUGCUGGGAGGGAAGAAGGAACCAGAGAUAGUAACUAGGCGGCUCUGAGGAACUGUCAAAAUGCUGUUCCGGGUGGAUCCAAGUCGACUCCCUAGGGCUUACAGCACCUGAUCCUUUCCCAUCACCACAGCAUCACCCGGACGUGUUUGAUGGUUCUUGUGCCUCCAGCUCUGUGGCCAACGGCUGGGAUGUGUUUAUGUUCCUUUUUCAGAGGAAGAACACGAGGCUGGGUGAGAUGACUGCGUAUACAGUGAAGGAGCAGCAGACCUGAUGACAUCAUAGCUGCAGACGCCCCAUAGAGGAGUGGGAGAAAGGAGUUGGAGAGGAGACCUUGGUCCAGUCUUCCCAGCCCCCACAGAGGGGAGUGCCUGGUCUGUGGGACCAGCUGAUGCUCUGCUGCACUGAGGGACGGAUGCUGAGCGCUUCCAGACACUCGGGACACACAUAGCCCUACUGAGAAGACCUGACCACGAUGACUGCAGUUUUCUGCAGUCUGAAUCCUGUUUGCUUUGGAGCUGAAUGAGAAAUGCAGACUAAACGUCUGGCUGUUUUAAUCUUUGGGACACAGAACUCAUUUUGAUUAAAAUAUUGGACCUGAGAACUAAGACAGCUUUCCUCUUAGGAAAAAAAGACUCAAAAUAAAAAAUGACUAAAACCUUUCUUCACUUAAGAGGGGGGCAGCCUAAGGGUUUAACUGCGCAGAGACUGGAACUGGUAUUUGAUAACAGCAAUGUCACUGGAUUCUUACCCCUCAGGAAAGCUUUUCUUGUCUUUUGAUGAAUGUGGAUUCAAAAAAAAAAAAAAAACUGUGAUAUGUUUAAUUGUGGAUUCAUUGUUAAUUCCCACUCUAAAAUUAUGGUAUUGACCUGAUGAUGUUUGUAACUGCUUGUAAGAUGUUGAGAAUGGUUUGACAUACUCUGUAAAUGUUUAGAUUUAAUGCAUAUGUUAAAAAAUUUUAGAUUUUGCCGA